CUGUACCAUUUAUGAUUGCUCAAGGUUACCCCACAGUCAGACCCACGGCAGCCGGCAGCCCUUAAUGAGAAUGGCAUAGUUACCACAUAAUCUGCCCCUGGUUCAAUCCAGGAAUGAAGAACUACUUGGCUGCCUAAAGGGGAUGCUACAGACUGCUUUCAUUUGCCCUUCAGUCAGACAGAGCAAAUGGCACCUGUGUUCUCAUAGCACUGUGUGCAGGUAGCCUAUAGCUGCCACACUGCCUUGUGCUGCUGCUUGCCUUAGUCAUGAUUGCACAGUCUCACCUCACAGUCGGACCCAGUCAAUGGUAGCAGGUACGUUCAUUAGGGUUACCAUAUUUCCAUUUAAAAAAAUGAGGUGCCCUAGUCCAGCCCAAUCUGUUGUUCCUCACUCUAGGACUCAGGACCCUGAGCCAUCCUGCCCGCCUCAUAACCAGGGCACCCCUGGCAGUGCCCCCACUCCCAACCCCCAGUGUCAUGCAGUUGCUUCUUGGGGAUUUACUGGUUUUUCCAGUUUUACAAGUUAGGCAAUCCUCCCUAAUGUUGCAGACAACUGUUCAUUUGGCAGUGGUGACGACAAAAACAGGAUCAAAGCCUGGGACUCUGGCCUGAUGAUCUGAUGGCCACCCUCAGUGAAAAAAAAGAAGGCAAAACAGUUUUUUUACAUAAUUAACCUUUACUGAUUUAGUAAGCAUAACUUAAAGAAAUAACCAACCAACUUUACAGAAUUUUCAAGGUAAACAUUAGUGAGAAGCAGUACUAAUUUAAUUUUUAAACCUCAGGCAAUAUGCAGUGAGUUUCAUUACAAUACCUUUUUUACACACAUGCAGUAACCAUAGGCAUUGUUUAUGUAUGUUUAAAUCAACAAACAGGCCAUGACCACUAAUUAGCAAUACUUAGCUACUAUCACUGCACAUAAGCAACACUGUUUUUCUACAUUUCUAAGCUGGACUGCCCUUCUUUCUCCCUUUCUUGUGAAUGCCUCCUGCCAUGUUGCCCAGCCAACACUUGGCCACAGACUCAGCAUGCCUGUUUUGCUAUUUCCUGCAACCAUACUGUGCAGGUACUGAUGGUACUGACAAUCCUAUCUGACCAGGCAUCAUCAGGCUCCCUGUGUAGUCUGUGUUUUUUUGGCGGCAUUGAUAGCAGCAACGGCAGCAUACCUACCAGAGCUGAAAGCCAAGGAAGGACUGAAUGUGGGGAUAAUUGUGUGCUCUGAGAAUCAGACAAGUGGAUAAGAAGCAUUCUAGAAAACCCACUAAGAAGGGCUUGCCUGCCUGCCUGUCCACGUUGUUGGACUGCAGGCCCUAAAUGGCUGCAAACUUGUCAUCUACAGAGCCUGUGUGUUUUGCAUUGCCCUUCACCUUCCUGCAUGACAAUCCAAUCCUCCCCCACGUGUCAGUUAGUUGUCAGUUAAAUUAACACUCUCCCACACACAUAUCUCAUGGCAGUUACCUGUGAUCCCCCAACCUGCACCCCUCACAUCACAGCCCAGCCUAAUCUCAGGUAUCAGUUCAGAUGUUAGAUGUCAGUUCCCCAUGGCUCAACUUAUCAGUUGUAGAAGAUGUCCCCAGUCUCUCCUCUUCAGCAGACUCAGCAAGGACUGGUUCUGUUGACCUGCCUCUGUCUUCCUUCCAUGAAGCAGCAGGACUUGCAGUCAGACCUGUGGUCAGUGAACUGGCAGGAGCAGGGGACAGCUUGGAUAUCUCUUCUCUUUGCUUGGCAUUGGAGUACCUCUAUUAAUGGUUGGAGGUACUGAUAAUGUAGCACAUUAAGCAGGGGCUACCAUUCUGAUGAGGUCUUGCUACGCCACGUUGGAAGCAGCUCUCACAUUCUGUUCUGGACUUCCAUCUUGUUGUGCCCCCCUCUGGGCAAGUCUCUUGGAGACAUCCAGGUAGAUGUGCAAGUUCAUGGUCAGGCUGUUGCUGACACUGAACUGGCUUAAGACCUCAGGGUUCCCCAGCACAUGCACCAGGCUCUUAGUUUCUUCAUAGGACCAAGUUGUCCUAGUCUUAUGCACCCUGACUGGCUGUCUGCUCUA